GAUAACCUACCUAUAAGACUGGGAUAACUUCGGGAAACCGGAGCUAAUACCGGAUAAUAUUUUGAACCGCAUGGUUCAAAAGUGAAAGACGGUCUUGCUGUCACUUAUAGAUGGAUCCGCGCUGCAUUAGCUAGUUGGUAAGGUAACGGCUUACCAAGGCAACGAUGCAUAGCCGACCUGAGAGGGUGAUCGGCCACACUGGAACUGAGACACGGUCCAGACUCCUACGGGAGGCAGCAGUAGGGAAUCUUCCGCAAUGGGCGAAAGCCUGACGGAGCAACGCCGCGUGAGUGAUGAAGGUCUUCGGAUCGUAAAACUCUGUUAUUAGGGAAGAACAUAUGUGUAAGUAACUGUGCACAUCUUGACGGUACCUAAUCAGAAAGCCACGGCUAACUACGUGCCAGCAGCCGCGGUAAUACGUAGGUGGCAAGCGUUAUCCGGAAUUAUUGGGCGUAAAGCGCGCGUAGGCGGCCCUUUAAGUCUGAUGUGAAAGCCCACGGCUCAACCGUGGAGGGUCAUUGGAAACUGGAAAACUUGAGUGCAGAAGAGGAAAGUGGAAUUCCAUGUGUAGCGGUGAAAUGCGCAGAGAUAUGGAGGAACACCAGUGGCGAAGGCGACUUUCUGGUCUGUAACUGACGCUGAUGUGCGAAAGCGUGGGGAUCAAACAGGAUUAGAUACCCUGGUAGUCCACGCCGUAAACGAUGAGUGCUAAGUGCCCGGGGGUUUCCGCCCCUUAGUGCUGCAGCUAACGCAUUAAGCACUCCGCCUGGGGAGUACGACCGCAAGGUUGAAACUCAAAGGAAUUGACGGGGACCCGCACAAGCGGUGGAGCAUGUGGUUUAAUUCGAAGCAACGCGAAGAACCUUACCCCCUCUUGACAUCCUUUGACAACUCUAGAGAUAGAGCCUUCCCCUUCGGGGGACAAAGUGACAGGUGGUGCAUGGUUGUCGUCAGCUCGUGUCGUGAGAUGUUGGGUUAAGUCCCGCAACGAGCGCAACCCUUAAGCUUAGUUGCCAUCAUUAAGUUGGGCACUCUAAGUUGACUGCCGGUGACAAACCGGAGGCCCGUGGGGAUGACGUCAAAUCAUCAUGCCCCUUAUGAUUUGGGCUACACACGUGCUACAAUGGACAAUACCCCGGGCAGCGAAACCGCGAGGUCAAGCAAAUCCCAUAAAGUUGUUCUCAGUUCGGAUUGUAGUCUGCAACUCGACUACAUGAAGCUGGAAUCGCUAGUAAUCGUAGAUCAGCAUGCUACGGUGAAUACGUUCCCGGGUCUUGUACACACCGCCCGUCACACCACGAGAGUUUGUA
rnacentral:rRNA from 1 species